rnacentral:lncRNA from 1 species
UGGACUCAGCCCGCCCUCCGCUCUCCUCAUAGGCCGCCCUUAGUCGGCCUAUGAGCGCGUCGAGGCUGCCCCACGCCUGCCUUAGAGGGCAGACACAGGGAGCUGGAGGGUUCGGGUGGCCGAAGUAGGGGCAGCCGGAAGCGUGGACUUUGGUCUUGCCGAACUGGUCUAGAUACUUGAGGAACUCGAUCACGUGGGCCCCGCUGCAGCGCGCCAGAGUCAAAGGAGGCUUGUGGUUCUUCAGAUACUGUAGGAAAGUGUUCCAGUCUCUCCUCUUCUGUGACUCGUACCUGCUUGGCUGCGCCGCCGCCUGCUUGUCAGUUCCUGUCGGGGGGGGGGGAGGAGACGGUCGGUCUGGCUAGUGUGAGGAGACGGUCGGUCUGGCUGCUCUAUUGUUGUUGUGGGUGGGGGUGUAAGUCCAGCUGAUGACGUGGACUCCAUCAAGUGAUGAUCUAGAUAACUGUGUGAUAUUUGGAUUUUUGUUUUGUUUUGCAAUGGAGGAGCUGCUGGAUGAGCUCUGUUGGAGCUGAAGGGAAGAAAGAGAGAGGGAAAGGGAAGAAAUGAUGGGAGGGAAGGGGCAAAUAUAUUUAAUAUAAUAAUAAUAAAAGAAUGGUUUAAUUUGUAUGGUUUGAUGGGACGUAAAAGAGAGGUGAUGGAUGAAUGAUAUGAUAUGCCCACCAAAAUAUAUUAUAAAAAUAUUAAAAUGUCUUGGGAGGAAUGGCAGAUAACGCUGAAUUUCACAAGUGUUUGAAAUUCUCAUUUUGUGUUUGGUUUAGGUUCAUAACUGUUGAUGAAACAUAUACAAACUUCAUUGAAACAAACCUCCAUAACUGUUGCAAUCGUUUCAAGUAUGAUUGGUUCAUCUCUCUGAGACACUCUGACGAGGGUCCACCUCUUCACAAUAUGGCAACAACCCAAUGAUUCAACUACAAUAAGCCCAAAACCCGUGACAGAAGUUAAAAGCAGUAGGGUGUGAUCCAAUUCAAUAAAGUUUGAACGUUGAAGAAUGAAUUGGGAACAAACCCACAACUUCGGCAGCAUAUUUUUUAAAUUAAAUACCUCUUCCUUCACUAGAUUAUCAAGUUCCGCCUUGCAACUUCCUGAGAUGUGAACUGUCCACAACCCAGACCAGCCCAUCUGUCUGCUCCAAGUAGUUUCUCCAGUAGAAUCUUAUCGUCCUUUGCCCACCAACGUCCCAUAUGUUCAGCAUAUACCUACCCAGACGCAUCAAUUUGGGAAAUUAGACCAAGACAGAUUGGGGGAAAUUUAGAUUGGUUUUUUUCUACAAAAAUAUUACUUGUGGUAAGUGAUGGUUUUGAUGUUGAAGCCGAGGGUUGGGCUGAUGACGGUGGUGUCUUCUCCGUUGAUCUUGAGAACGAUCGUCGUCUUUCCGGAGUUGUC